rnacentral:rRNA from 1 species
CAGCACCUCAAGUGGUCAGGAUGAUUAUUGGGCCUAAAGCAUCCGUAGCCGGCGCUGUAAGUUUUCGGUUAAAUCUGUACGCUCAACGUACAGGCUGCCGGGAAUACUGCAGCGCUAGGGAGUGGGAGAGGUAGACGGUACUCGGUAGGAGGGGUAAAAUCCUUUGAUCUAUUGAUGACCACCUGUGGCGAAGGCGGUCUACCAGAACACGUCCGACGGUGAGGGAUGAAAGCUGGGGGAGCAAACCGGAUUAGAGACCCGAGUAGUCC